rnacentral:misc_RNA from 1 species
UCCGGUUUGUCACCGGCAGUCUCACCAGAGUGCCCAACUUAAUGCUGGCAACUGAUAAUAAGGGUUGCGCUCGUUGCGGGACUUAACCCAACAUCUCACGACACGAGCUGACGACAACCAUGCACCACCUGUAUCCAUGUCCCCGAAGGGAACGUCUAAUCUCUUAGAUUUGCAUAGUAUGUCAAGACCUGGUAAGGUUCUUCGCGUAGCUUCGAAUUAAACCACAUGCUCCACCGCUUGUGCGGGCCCCCGUCAAUUCCUUUGAGUUUCAGCCUUGCGGCCGUACUCCCCAGGCGGAAUGCUUAAUGCGUUAGCUGCAGCACUGAAGGGCGGAAACCCUCCAACACUUAGCAUUCAUCGUUUACGGUAUGGACUAC